rnacentral:rRNA from 1 species
UACAGAGGGUGCAAGCGUUAAUCGGAAUUACCGGGCGUAAAGCGUGCGCAGACGGUUGCGUAAGUCAGAUGUGAAAGCCCCGGGCUCAACCUGGGAAUUGCAUUUGAGACUGCGUAGCUAGGGUGCGGAAGAGGGAAGCGGAAUUUCCGGUGUAGCGGUGAAAUGCGUAGAUAUCGGAAGGAACACCAGUGGCGAAAGCGGCUUCCUGGUCCAGCACCGACGUUCAGGCACGAAAGCGUGGGGAGCAAACAGG